GGUAGGAUGGCUGAGAUCAGGCGAUAAACUGUAAAUUUAUUCACGAGAAUAGUUCUCUCCUACCA
rnacentral:tRNA from 1 species